rnacentral:rRNA from 1 species
AUAUCAAUAAGCGGAGGAAAGGAAACUAACAGGGAUUGCCUUAGUAACGGCGAGUGAAGCGGCAACAGCUCAGAUUUGAAAGCUGGCUUAUGCCCGCAUUGUAAUCUGCAGAGGAACGUUUUUGGCUUUUUGGUAUGGGUCCAAGUCUUCUGGAAUGUAGCGCCUUAGAGGGUGAGAGCCCCGUAUACGAUCCUGAAGUCAAAGCCGUGCAAACGUCCUUCGACGAGUCGAGUUGUUUUUGGGAAUGCAGCUCAAAGCGGGUGGUAAAUUCCAUCUAAAGCUAAAUAUUGGCCAGAGACCGAUAGCGCACAAGUA